GCCGGGAUAGCUCAGCUGGUAGAGCAGAGGACUGAAAA
rnacentral:tRNA from 3 species